rnacentral:misc_RNA from 1 species
UCCUAGUUAACCUAGGCAGUCUCAUUAGAGUUCCCACCAUUACGUGUUGGCAACUAAUGAUAAGGGUUGCGCUCGUUGCGGGACUUAACCCAACACCUCACGGCACGAGCUGACGACAGCCAUGCAGCACCUAUACAGCAGUCCUUGCGGACUUUACCAUCUCUGGUAAAUUCUCCUGUACUUCUAACCUGGGUAAGGUUCUUCGCGUUGCAUCGAAUUAAACCACAUGCUCCACUGCUUGUGCGGGCCCCCGUCAAUUCUUUUGAGUUUCACCCUUGCGAGCGUACUCCCCAGGCGGUAUACUUAACGCGUUCGCUCCGACACAGCUAGGGUUGAGCCCAGCUACAUCAAGUAUACAUCGUUUACGGCAAGGACUAC